UGCGCUGUUUAACACAUGUGAUUAGUUUCAAUACCAGGCUUGAACCCAGCAUACGCUGAGUACGCUGUUUGCACGAGAUGUCUAGGCUGCCUAGCUCUAGCCAACCAUUGAACAAGAAUGGUGUGGAGGUAUUUGCCAAUCGCCUAAGAAGCGCGUUUCCGAAGGCGAUGUAGCUGGUGCGUGCUGAUUGCUAAGGGCGCUCUGUCGUUGCCACUGCUGCUGCUACUACUGUUGUCACCUGGUGACGUACCGAGUCCCUCUGUCUGUCUGCCAGCUGCUGAACAGCAGAAAACACAACACAAAAGAAAUUGCAACGAAACGAAAUUAGCGCGGCACUCGAGUGAAUUGAGUCUCCGUGAGACCUUAGUGGCUAACGUAUUUGGCUGCUAAUCUCAGGAACACGUUGUGGUUUACAUUCGAACCCAGCUUAGACACUUCGUUUCGUGCUGUGGGCCAGGCGUCUGAUAGAACGCCUAACGACGAUACCGAACGUGAAACUCGAAACAAAUCGACUCGAGUGAAUCGAGUUCCGCCGCAAUUCUUCAUGCUAUUCUCGCUUUUCGUAGCGCAGACUUUUUCAGAUCGGCUUGACUUCGCUCUCACUCUAAACCUCAGCUUGUGGGCAGCAAAGUUCUCAAAGGAGAGCGAAUAGACUUUUAGCCCAGCCAGUCUAUUGCACCCAAAUAGCCCGUGGCUGCUGCUACUGCCAUUGCUGUACCCGAGGGCUCGCGAGAAAGAAGUUCAAAAUCCAUAGAGGGUGAGAAAGACCAAGCCUAGUGGCGCGAGAUGCCGUGUACAGCUCUGGUAAAUUGUGAUUACCGCUGGUGGACGAAGGCAAAUUGCACGCCUGUUGAGAGCGUCUCAGCGUCAGUUGGCUGCGGAUGCCACCCGUGCACACUGAGCGAACAGGCUAUUGUGCGUGUUACUUUGAGAAGAGUUUUCGGCUUGAUGAUGCUGAUCGUGGUUUUAAUCGGAGUCGCCGUCAACUAAGCAAAUGUGGUCUUGGCGAUGGUGAUUCUGUUUCUCCGUAAUAGUUUGUGUGUCCGAAUGAAAUUUUUUUGUGAGAAAAACGAUGCAUAGGAAAUAGUCGUUGUAGCCCAUGAUAGCAGAGACGUCAGCUGUUAAACCAGGCUAUAUUAACUGUGUACAGCAACAAGGUAGAUUCGAAGACAUACCCAUGACGACUGGGCAUUGAGACCUAUAUUGGUGAGAAGAGUGAUCGUAAGUAAAGACGCGGAACCUGUUCACGAGACGCAUCGACAGAGUAAAGGACAGGACAACAAUUACGGUAUCAUGUCUUCAUCAAAGGCCCCACCAAGAAGCGGCAAGGUGUCCAGGGUUCGACCAAUACAGCGUGCCACGAUUCCGAAGCUCGCGACACCACUUGCCGGCUCUGCUCGCAACGGCGGCGGCGGCAACGGAGGCGGUAAUGGAAGUUUCACGACGACGUUUUCGAUGUCUGCUUCGCCCAAUAUUCCAACCUCGAGCCCUAUUCUGCAAGGGGAUAUCAGCGCAGCCCGACAGAAGCAACUGAUUGCUGAACAAGCCUCAUAUAUCCGUGAACUGGAAACGCAGUUGGCAGAAUUGCGCAAGCAGAAUGUCCACCUGCAUCGCGAGAUGCAGGAAGCCCUGGGGCUGCACCAGCUGAAAAGUCGCACCGUAGAUGCACUGACAAAGGACUUAACCGGUAAAUCGGAUGUGGAGCAACGAUUGAACGAUUUCCUGUUAUCAGUAGAAGCCGAUUGCCUUGACGCUGUUACUGAGGAAGUUCUAGCUUUGAGGAAAAAAUGCUUCCGCUCCGAGGAAUACCUUGCCGAACUCAACGAAAAAUACCGAGAAGCCGUGUUGCGUAAUCAACAACUCGAGGAGUCCCUAUCAGACCUAAAGGCGGAGAUAGCUGUGAAGUUAGUAUCGGAUGACCAAACUAAUCCGAUUGGUCCAGCAACGUCUCGAGAAAAUCUGAAAAGUCUUGCUAAACGGAACGCUACUCUAGAACAAAAAUGCGAAUCGCUUACAGAACUGAAGGGCAAGAUCGUCAAGCUUGAAGUCGAAAGACGUGAUCUGAAAGCCGAAAACACGCAACUCAAAGGUAAAAUGUCGGCGUUACUGCGGGACAAGAAGCAAUUGAACGAGCGGCUUACUAACAUCGAAACUGACGGUACGAAGAAAAUCAAUGAACUGAAAGAGGCCCAGGCGCGACACCUAGAAAUGCUGAGCAAACUACGUCGCAGCUACACCAAGAUGGACGCCAAAUACAAGCACUUGCUCAAGGAGAGAACCCAGUGGCAAAGCCUGUUCCGAACGGCAAAUGGUGAACUAAGUAAAAGUACAGAGUCGCUCGCCUCGAUUAGUUCGGCAGCGUCAACGAGCGUAAGUCGUGCGAGCUUUUUCAGAGACAGCUCGAAUCUCGAGGAAUACAAUAUUCACCUCGAAAGCGAGCUAGUAGCAGUCAAGGAAAAUCUCAAAUUAUCCGAAAAGGAGCGGGAUAGACUCGAAAAGAAGCUCAAGGGUCUUGCUGAGCAGGUGCUUCAGGAUGAAAAUCUCAUCACGGAACUAGAUCAGAACCGCGCCGCAAUCAUGGAAGAGCACGAUGGGCUUCGGCAGAAAUGUCUAUCCCUUGAAGAGGAUAACACUGCUCUGCAGAGGAAUGUCGAAGAACUGCGCGAACAGUUGGACACUGCCCUCUUCGAGAACAAUGAGAUGUCGUUAAGGGAAGAAGAUGCCCGAUCAUCACUAGCGCAAGCGAAGGCUGGGUCAAUGUUUGACCCUACACAAAAUCUCCAGCUCUACCAAGAGCAAAUGCUCAAUGCCGAAACGAUUACUGAUUUCGUCAACAACGUCAUGACAAAGCAGGAGCGCGCUCUCAUCAGUCGGCUGGAUGCAAUGGACGAAAACAUCACGGCACUAGCAGCGCGGUAUGAACACGCCAAAUCACAGCUCAUUGCGAAGAACGCCGAAGUGGAACGGAAACAGCAGACGAUAGCAGAACUCAGCCGACAAGUUGAAGUCCUUAAAAAUAAUGCAGAGUCACUCGCCAAGGAUCUAGGAGUGGAGGUGCGUGAUCGAAGCGCUACGGAAAUGGCGAAGAUGCAAGACGAGAUCAGUGCAAAAGAUGCCAAGCUUAAGGAUUACGAAAAAAUACAAAAGGUCCUAAAAAAGGCGUUAGUCGAAAAUGAGAAUCUUAAAGAAAGCACAGAGCUAUUUAAAACGAAAACUGAAGCCGCUGAAUCUCGAAUCGUCGAACUGGAAAACCAGCUCAAGUGUGAACAAAAUCUGGUUACGGAAAGCAAUGGAAAACUAAAUCAGCGUCUUCGGCAAGCUGAACGUGAGAACGAGCGGCUACAAAGUGAAUUUAGCAUCUUCGAAGAACAAAUUGCGGAAUUGGAACGGGCGAAGAAUGCACUCUCAGCGGUAGAAGUAGAUCGUGAAACCCUAAAACAGCAAAUAGCAUCGUUGGAGGGGAAUCUUGCUGAAGUUACCUACGAAACUGAGCGCCUAAGACAAGAACUGAAUGCUAUCAGAACUGAGCAGAGAGAUCAGACUGGAGAACUUCAAGAAGCUUCCAGCAAGGCUGAGGGCCUGAAGAUGGCUCUGGAAGAAAAGGCUCAGCAGAUUGCAACACUAAUUAAAAGCCUUGAAGAAGAGCGGGUCGAGAAGAGUUCUUUGGAAAGAGUAAUCUUCGAACUUCAACAACAAAACGAAAAGAAUUUAGAUGAAAAGGAUCAAAAAAUGGCGCAGCUUGCCAGCGAAAUGAAGGCGGCAAACCAGGAUCUUGAGCAUGUUCUUCGAGAGAAGGCUCUAACGAUCGAAGCACUAGAGAAGCAAAUAUUAGAAUCUACAGAGAUCAAGCAACGAGAAAUAGACGAGCUGUCGAAAGUACAUGAAGAGAAUGUGAAGCGACAGAAUGACGCCAAAACCGUGUGCUUAUCGUUCGUCAAUGCUCUUGAAAUAAAAGUGGACCAUGACCUUUCACUUUCUGAGUUUAUACCUCAGAUGAUAGAUGCGGCUUUGAAGUUAGUGCAAUCGAAGACACAGCAACUCGAAGAUGUUGGCAUCGAAUUGGAACGAACGCGAAAAGAAGCUGAACAGGGAGUAUCCUUUGCGAUCACAAUGGAACAGCUUAAGAAUCAACUUAGUCGAGAUGAGGAGAGCCUUAAAAACUAUGAGGAGGCUCUGGCAACCCAGUCUGCGUCGAUCGAACGGCUGAAGGUAGAACGGGCUGAUCUUGAAAGAAACAUGAUAGAGCUGCAUAAAAGCGACGACCAACAAAUUAAGAGGUUGAAAGAAGACGUACGUCAACUGGAAGCGCAGCUCGAAAAAGCUAGUCAUGCUAGCCAGGAGGUUUCUGCAUUACAACGUCGCUGUCUUGAACUUGAAGCCCAACAUGAAGUAAAUAUUGCUGAAAAGAAUGAAACCAUCAGUAAUCUGGAGAGUCGGCUUGAAGACAAGAUCACAGAGUUCGAUGAACUUAAUCAAAAAGUUGAAAACUUUACAGUACUGGAGGAGCAUUUAAAUUCAAUGACAAUCCAAGUUAGCUUAUGUCAUACGAAGAUUGAAGAGCUUGAAAAAGACAUUGAAGAUAAGGAACAGAAACUCAUCGGGAAAAACCAAAUUAUUUAUCAGCUGGAAAACGAACUUAGUGAAAAAACAGCCACGUUCGACGAGAUGGAGAAAAUAUUCUCUCUGAAGGGUGAAGAAUACAAAAAGGUCCGCGAAAUGCUUGAUACGAGCGAGGAGAGUAUCAAGCAGCUUAACUAUCAGUUGUCCCUUACCGACUCCACAGUAAAGAAACUUUCUAGUACGUUGCUACCUAACGCAACUCGAGAUUCUGCUGAGAUGUGGGUAGCCCUUUCCAAAAGGGUCGACGAAGUCUUUAAGGAAUUGCGAGAUGCCCAAGAAAAGACGAAAUCACUUGAGAAACAGCUGGAACACAGUGACAUAGAACGAAAUGCAGUAAUCGAUCAGAUGAAUGAUUUACAACGCGUCCUCGAGACGCGUCAGAAUCAAUUGGAAAAUGCGACAUUAUUCGGUAGAAACUUGCAGAUUCUAACCGAAAAGCUCACAUCUGAUCUCGAUGCAAAACAAAGUGCAUAUACGGAUGCAAUGGAAGAGCUUCAGCAGUUGAAGGCAGAUACUGAACGAAUGACGCUCGACUUGACGGCCAAGCAAAACGAACUGGAUGACAACGCGGUCUACAUCACACGUCUCCGAAACCUGCUCACGGAAUCUGAAAGUGUAAUACGCGGCCUUUCCGAGCAACAUAACGAUAAGGUUAUUAAUUUAGUGGACAAAAUACAAAGUAUUAAUCGUGAACGAGAGGCGUUACAGGCAUGUCUUGGUAAGAAGUUGAAGGAAACUGUUAGCGCACAAAGCGGCUCUGCAGCUCAAGCAGCGCUAAAAGGAGAAAUAGCUCGACUUGGUGCUGAAAACGAAGAACUACUGGCAGAGAAGAAAUCCUGGAAAGAGCUGAGACUUCAAUUAGAAAGCCGUACCACACAAGCUGAGGCAAACUAUGCUGAUAAGUGUCAAGAGCUUGAGGAGUUGACAAAGGUUCUAGCCAUGAAGCAAACUGAUAUGGCGCGAUUUGAGGAUAAGCUCCAUGCGCUCAAAAAUAAAUAUGGCGAUAGGGUCCAGUCGCUCCAACAGAACGUAUCAAUUUUACAAAGUGAGAGGGCGAAAGUAGCCGAACAGAUAAACGAUAUCCAACAGGAGCUAAAGGCCGCAGCCGAAGCCAAAGGGGAACUCGAGACAAGCUUGCAAAAUAAAUGCGAAUCCCUCGAAGUGCUCCGAAGCGAAAUGGAUCUACUCGAAGGAAAGUUGCAGGAGAUGUGCUCACAGUACGAGGAAUGCCAAAAAAAACUGGACGAUCGUGAGGCCGAAGUCGCCCGCUUGGUUGAUGAGAUCGGCAAUGUAAAGAUUGUUCUGUCGGAACGAACCGAAGAUGUAAGCUCGUAUCAUGACCACAUCAAGGCACUGGCAGAGGAGAAGAUCCGUCUCGAAGGCGAAGCCGCACACCUCAAGCAGAAAAUAAACGACAACAGUGAAGAGUACCAGAGGGAAGCCCUGGAAAUGCAACAAGAACUCUCCAUUAUGACGGAACGUUACAAUAUAAAGUGUCACGAAUGUGAAAGUUUAUCAAAGGAUGUUGCAACUAAGGCAGCCGACGUGGAUGUUCUCACUGUGAAACUUCUUUCUAUGGAAUCCAAUCUCUACAAAGCCACCACCAGAAUCGAGGAUUUGGAAAAGAUGCUGGCGCAAGAAAAAUAUGUAGCCAAACAACUUUCAGAAGAUACCCAUCGGAAAGACGAAGCCUUUGCGACUACUAAUCAGCCUGAGGGGGAGAUUAGCAUUACUAAAUCUGGAUAUCUGAAAGUUCAACAAGAGCUGAAAUACGUGAAAUCCCAGCUAGAUGACACACUUAGAAAAAAAUGUGAAACUGAGUUAAAGCUGAAAGCGGCUGAAUAUAAAGCAAACGAACUCAAUGGCAAGUUAAAUAAAAUGGAAAGUAAAGUCGAGCUGGAAUCAAAACAACUUUCUUCAUUGGCAGACGGAGCGGCCUCAUAUCAAACAGAGCUACAGAUAGAGUUAGAUACUGCCCGUGGGUUACUUCUUAAUUCAGAAAGGGAAGCAUUGGCUUUAAAAUUAAAAUACGAAGAGCAGUUAAACUCACUCCGUGAUGAACUCUCUAGCCGAAUUGCAAAAAAAGACUCUCAACGAAUCCUGCAGGAAGAAGCUGCGACAAUAAAGGAUUCGACGGCGUGCCGAGAACGUCUGACGUCGCAACAAUUCGAAGGAAGCAUCAAUUUACCGGAAAAUAUUCGCGAUGAGCUCAGCUCGGAAAAAAGCCUGGGCGAUUGCCUUCGCACAGAAAAGGUUGCGCUUGAGGAAGAACUAACGAAGGUUCAGGUUUCCCUCAAAGAAUCACAAAACAAACUACUCCAGGCACGACAUAUCAUCGAAGAUUUGGAAACUGCUAAAUCGAAAGUUGAAACUCAACUUGAAGAAAGUCUAGCCGCCGUUGCCACAGCCCAUAAGGACCAAAAGAAACUCGACGAGAAGCUAACAGAAUCACGUCGCAGUACUGCAUUUCUUGAGGAACAUUUAGCGAAUCUACGUGAGAAGACCGUUACAUUGAAGGACUCGAUCGGCGCACUAACCACCGAAAAAGCAACACUCGAACAAAAGUACGCACAACUGAACGAGCGCGACGCGAAACAUAGACAAAGUAUUCGCGAGCUCCAACACCGGUUGGACUCUAUGAAACAGGUCAGUCUCGACCGAGCUGGGCAGCUGGAAGCGGCCAACAGAGAGGUCAAUCUUCUACAUGAGUACCGCCGUGUUCUUGAGCAGGUUCAGGAGACACUUGAAUUGAAGACACCCGAGAGAAUAGUUCCUCUGGUGCGGCAGCAUAAAUCAACUAUAGCGCAACUGGGUUCGGGAAUGCUGAUGAUCAGGAGGGAGCUGAACGGUCAACAGCGGGAGCUAAGCAUCCUUCGACAACUAGUCACUUCCCAGCGGGCCGAGCUUUCCGUACUUGUGACCGACACCAGCCACCAGCUGGAACAAGUUGUCGCCACGGCUGAAAAGGUAUCGACGCAACAGCAGCAGCAACAACCACGGGAACAUCUCAGCUUCCAGAAAACAAGCCGCCCUCUUGUGGAUCGUUGCCUCGAGGUACUGCGUGAGCACAACAUGCGUUCGCUGGCCAAAACAUUAGUGCCGACGGCGUCACCUGUGGCGCAUGGAACGGCGCUAGCGACGACGGUGACGGCUUCCGGUGAGAGUGGCGCAGGUGGUGAAGUUCGGUCAAUGCACAAUCUGUUUACACUUCCACCGAACGAUUUCGACAUGCACUUCCAGACCUUCAACGGUCCCACAGCCCAGUUCGUGGCCGAACAGCAAGCAUCCUCGGCAGCCAGAUUAAAGCUGAUGAAGCUCGCUGCGGUCAUGGACCACGACGACACCGCACCGAGUCACGCUACUUUAAACACUAGCAAUAAUCGCACACCCGGAGAUCAAGGCCUAGGCCGCCAGCAACAACAUAAUGACGUUGAAAACGGUGACAACGCUACAGGAACAAAUCCCUCGAGUCUGAUUCGCAUUGACCCAUUCGAAACGAUUAAACAGCAAAAAAUCCUAAUUCAUGAACUGAUGGCAAAGUUGGAGAGAACCAAAAAAGUGUUAGACGGGGAGAUGAUUCGCCGUAAGGAACUCGACGAACGGUUUCGGCAGUGGUCGAGCGAUAAACGCUUACACAAUGCUGAAGUGUUUUUUAAUGUUGCUCAGCAGAUAAAUAGCAGCGGCAGUUCGAUCCAGCGUGAGGAUACCUUCGACUGCGCGCCCUUACUAAAAUCGCAAGGCGCGCUUAUUCCGGAAACAUCCUUAAACGUGACUCGACAGUUUCCUAGCUACGUGGACAAUUUUAUUCGAUGGCUCAUCACGACAGCGCCACCUAGAUCCGAGAUGCACCCAGUUGGCCUUCAACGGCGGCAACAACGACCACAACAGCAACAGCAGCAGCACAAGAGCGUAACAAACGAUGGAUUGGUGACUCUUGCCUCCGAUGAACGCUCAUUGGCCCUUUGUGUUUCUUCCACAACUGCUUCGACGCUGCUUCCUUCUACAACCCAAUUCUAUGAAUCAACUUCGUGUUCAAUUUCCGACACUUUCUAGUUCCUGCUAUAAUAUUCUGUCAUUGGUGUGCACAGGUUGAACUCUUUACAUGACCAUUUUCCUAUGAUUUCACUUCAGAACAGAUCUAGCGGAUGCUAACAUUCGUAUGAAAACAGCGUGGUUAUAAUUUUGACAGGGGUACGAAGCAAUAUAAGGGUCUGAUUGAAAUUUUUCAAUUGUCUUUUAGUGUCUCGCUGUAAUAUGACUGACAAAAACUGUAUGAAGAAGAUAAUGUUUGUGGAAGUUCUAAUUUUAUGUAUUACAAUGUUUGCUGAAGACUAAUAGGUGGAAUGAACCAACCUUAAAAAAAGCUCAUUAAUCUAAUUCAGGGUAAGUUAGGUUCAUGAGUAAAACUAGCCCAAGUUUUAUAGCUAAUCAGACAAGAUUAAGGAUGCCGGGAUUACGUUACUGAUUAUCUUGUUGUCAAUUAUGCUAUUGAAUUACUGCUUUCAGGUUAGACGGUCAGAUGUCGAGGCAAAGCCCAUGUAAAAAUGCCUUCUUCACUCGUGAUGGCUGAUGUUGCGCUAAGCCACUAUGAAGCACUGAUCGAGAACCAGCCAUCAAUUUCACACGAUUUUGGAGUACAAGGUCCAAUGUCUAUUUGUCUACGAAAACCACGUGUGCUGUCGCUACGAAUCCAUUUGGAAUUCAAUAUUCUAUUUAAGCCUAUUCAUAAAAACUUCAAGAGAAUACAGCCAGUCCGUCGUAAAUUGUAUUUAAGAUUGAGUUGGAGGAAGAUGGCAUUCUUUUUUUUUCGGUAAUAGAAAAAUUAGCAGAUGAGUAGUGCGUUUCAUGACUACAAUUUAUUAACUGCAACUCUGCAAGUACAGACAGUGACCCCGUCUUCCUGCUGUAAUUGCUCCGGUACCUUCACAGCAACUUACCCAAUCCAAUCUGUUACCUACUUUGCUGCGCUUCAUUGGAAUGUUACACCCAUUUCGUUGCUUUAAUUAAAUUUAGCGCGUUCUGCUAUAUGAAUUGCAUCGUACUCUCACUAUAAUUAAUGCCACGGCAAACGAUGUCCACUGUUACCUGUCUGCCUCAUUUAUGACCCGUACAUCGAGUUCUGAUAAGCAGUUCUUUCGCCACUUGACAAAUGAUUUUCGGGAUUGCUCGUAGAUCCAACCAAUCGCUGAGACUUCAGUUAACCCCAAGUCGCGAAGAAACUUAUUUAACCAACCACGUUGGUUGAGUAGGUUUAAAUAGGUUACAUAGUGGACUCGAAAACAGACGAAAAUCUACCUGGACAUUACAAGGGGGCAAUGAGAUAAACACCAGAUAUUUAGUUUAGUAACAUAUAAACAUAUCGUUCAUAAGUUAAAACAUCGCCUUUCGUUUUCCUUGUUAAUAUUGUUUGCGACUUGUGUUUUUAUAUGUACGUAUAUAUAUACAUACAUAUACGUAUAUAACUACAGUACACGUAACUGUUAAUUGAACUGGCUACAUCAAAUAGGUUUACAGAAUAACAAAUAUUACCUACAAUAUGCACGCGAUACGUAAUCAUUGCGUUGUUCAUUGUUCUAUGGUUUCACGUUUUGUGUAUUUUUUUACUUCGCACAACGUACUUGUUUAAUGCGUAGAAAUUAAGUGGCUGCAAUUGAAUGUUUAUUAUUGGCGUUAGAGAGGUAUACGUAGUGAAAGCACAUGACGUUUACCUAUCUACAAAAGGAAGAAUAUAACUUGUAGUAAAUUCUACAUUUUUGUGGUCCUGUCUCCUACAGAAUCUGCCAGUAGAACAACCUAACAAAAUUGGACGUGAAGCUAUAAAUGAUGCCCUAGUAUGUAGCCCUAUAUUAAUAUAUGUAUAUAACGAAGUUCAAAACUGACAAAAAAUUAACGAAAACAGUUCCAAAGAUCAAUAAAAGUAUUUUCGUAUAAUGUUAUAGCAUCAAGAAUUGGCGUUGUUCAAUAAUUUCUUUCUCUACUCAUCGCUGCAUCGUGUCUAGCGUUCGCAGUCACGACGCAUGUUCCGUGUCGUGUGUUCUGAAUACAUUGCGUUAAGAGAUUAAUAAACGUUCCAAUAUCCAAUAAUGGGACAAGUAGCCAGAAACUUUAAUAAACGUUGCAGUUCACUUUGCCAGUACGAUAAUUCUGGUGCAUUAGCCUCUCUAUUUUUAUUACAAUUAUUGGGUGCGACGACAAUUACGGUGUUCAAUUGUAUUUUAGGACUUUUCAACACUACAUUUUAAAUUACGCAACAGGCCAAGACAUGUGUAGCUUGAAAAUCACGUCAAGGAAACGAAUAUUUCUUGCUUGUAUUAAGAGACUAGCCAAUGUGUAGCCUAUGAGAGCUCAAUAAAGUUCUACAAAUUUACAACGAUCUAGAUUUCUAAUUAUUUCUUAUAGUUUGUUCGAUGCUCUACCCAGCAUAUAAAUUUCUAUACGGGUGGAAACUUUCUAUUAUAAGUAGUUUCUGCUAGAAAGUCCCCUUAUUUUUUCUAGAAUAGUAGCUGAACACAGCUGAACGACGAGCAAGAACGCGUACGUAUCGUAUUUACCGGUGCUAGUUAAAUCUUUACGCGUAUGCGAGUUUUUUGUGUAACAAACCAAAUCACAGUUGUGCUCUGAUUUGAGUCAAAUGUUAAUCAAUUAAAACAAUUCAGGCAAAGAAAAAGUACAUCAUUAUAACAUUGAUGUCCCUGUUACUUUAGCAUGGACUCAUAGUUAUCAUUAAAUAAAACAAUUAUUUUGCUUAUCCGUUUAGCGGUAAAAAAUAUUUUUUCGUGAAGAUAUGAUAUGUAAUACAACGUUUUUUCAUGCUUCACUGCAUAUUAAAUCAAUAUAGUUCAUUAGAUAGUAAAACUUAUCCACGCGAAAUAUUGACAAGCACGUAACUGCAGCAUUUAGAAAGCUUCACCGAUCGAACGUCCUCUAAACGAUUCGCAAAUAAAAUUCACAAUUAAAGUGUGCAUUUAAAAAGUAUUUAUGAAGCCAGUAAUUUUCAUAUAUAUAUAUAUAUAUAUACAGAUAUAUGUAUCAGCAUCUCUGCACUUCUAAGGUUUCUCACGCACGGACCCUAAAUGCCCACCACAAGAGCGCAUAUAGAGCAAUAUCAACAAAACGAACCCGACAGUGCAUGCCGAAACUGAUUAAGGUUAUCAUGGGGACGAACAAAUCGAGAAGUAAUUUGUAAGUUUACUCACAGAUGUAGGUAGAAGACUAAUGCAGAUUUAAUUUCCUGAAUCUGCAGCUGAACUACUAUGUCCUUUAAUACUAGAAAGCCAUGUUCCCUCGCCAGCUACUUGAUGAACUAUUUGAAACUCCUAAUACAGCAGUUUGUAGAUCAUUUCGGCUGCAUCUAAGGGUAAUCAGAAUACAAAGUUCGCUAAUAUACCGAACCAAUCACGAAUUUAUAGACGGCUUCUGGAUGCAUUAAACCAACAUAACUACUGAGCGAUACUGGUCAGUUUAGCAUUAGAUAGAUAUUCAGAUAAUAUAAAUUAUGACGGCAUUCAAAAACUAACUGAUGGAUCAAACAAACAACGCCUAUACAUGGGGGUCCCACGGAUGUUUAGUCCAGGAAACGUAUAAUUACAUAAGAUAAUCGUUGAAAUGAUUGGUACUUCAAGAAAGGAAAUUUUUCAAUUUAAGUAAGGAAACAACUACUAACCGUAACCGCAGUAUAGCUGCUCAAAGCAUUAUUUUUAAUAAAUUACUGCUGUUCACCUAAAUAUUGUCAAGGAUAAUGCAGUAAAUAAAGAGAUGUGGCUCGCUACAUUGUUCUGAUGAAAUUUGACUUUGCUAACUUCGAGAUUACGCGAGUUGAGGCUUGAAGUAUAUUAGACGAAUCAACUAUUGAAUUUAAAUAUUAUAUUUUGUAUAUGAAAACAAAAAACGCGCUAUCUGCUACGCCAAAGCAAAUCACGACGGAAACUGAUUUCAGAAUUCUACACAUGAAAUUUGCAUACCAUCGUUAAUAUUAUUAAUACUUAAAAAAAGCCUUCUGCCUAUUUGGCAGCUUUAUAUAUACAGAACACCGUAUAUCGAAGCAUAUAUGGCUAUCUUAUGCACAAAGUAAGAACAACUCCGUAAUGAUAUACUUGCCAACA